rnacentral:lncRNA from 1 species
AACAAAUCUAAGGAGGAGGAGGAGGAGGAAGAGAAAGAAGACAACAACAAGAAUAAGAAGAGGAAGAAGAGGAGGAGAAGGAGGAAGAAGAAUUGAGUGAUUAAAAAAGAGAAGGAAGUACAAUAGCACCUCCAGAUAUUUGUAAGAGGCUAAACUCAGCCAGAGAUUAGUGAAGGGAAGGAAACAGAUUCUGGUAACACCCACACAUAUCCUUCACUGCUGGCAGAGAUGCUCAGUGAGAUAGCUGUUGGAGUUCAUGCUACCCAUUUUCAU